UGGAGGCCCAAGAUGGCGGCGCACUGGGAGCGUAACAUCUGCGUUUCUAGGAUCUUCGCGCAGCGGGUGGUUAAGACUCCGGGGUUGUAGAGGUCCACACUAUACUAGUCGUCUGGCAGGAACUUUGACUUCAGAGGCAAGAAUACUGGAGUGGGUUGCCAUUUCCGUCUCCAGGGGAUCCUCCCGACCCAGGGAUCGAACCCGUGUUUCCUUCAUUGGCAGCAAAGUUUUGAGCAAGCGAGCAUGGGAGGUGGACACAGUGAAAUUUGUGUUUAGAAAUGGUCACUGCAUGGUGGAAAAAGGCAUGGAGAGAAAAAGUGUGGGUUCAUGGAGACCAAUUAAGAGGCCGCUGGGGCAGUAUGGGCAGACUUGUAUGGGCUGCUAUAGGUGAGCCUGGGGAGAAAUAGUUGGAUCUGAGAGAUAUUCACCAGGUAAAAUCCAUAUGACUUAAUUUUUUGAAAUACAAGAGGGAUAGAGAACUAUCAGGUGACUCUUAGGAUUCUUACAUAGGACCAUUUAGAUGAAUGGGUAUAAAAUGC
ensembl:lncRNA